ACUAUAUGAAAAAAAGAAAUGUAAAAAAAAGACAAAUGCAACAGAUGUUAGAGGAAGACUAUAAGAAACUUUAAGGGGACUUACAAAGACAUCCACAAAAAAAGGAUAUUAAAAAGCAAAUGGAUAUAGUUAAACACAAAAUAGGGUUGAUGGAAAAAGAAGAGUUAGCUCAAAAAAUUAAAUGUGUUAAA